GGGGAAUCUGCUGGGGAUAAAGAGCUGUUCUCUAAUUUCAGUGAAGAGAAUCUUUUGGCUUACUGAAGCCUGCUCUCAGCAGGAUGAUUGCAACGCCCUCAGGUUUUAGAUCAAGUAGGAUACUUCAGAUUCUCUCAGCAGAUCCAUCAUGUCACAAAAGGAAUCAGCCCCCGUGGCAGCUUUCCCCAGCACCCAAUCACUCUCCUGCAUGGAUUUGCAUCAGAGAGACAGAUUAAACCCGGCAGAGCGCCCCAUCCCAGAUGAGGAGGUUCCCCUGAGGUCAGUCAAGGUUUUUCUUUGCAGCAGAGAUGCAAAUGGUCACCGUGUUACAGCUCUGUUCUUUAUUUUUAGGAAGUAAAGCUGGAUAGCAGCAGUCAAGUUGAAGCAGGCAAGGUGAGCAUUGACAGGUAGGUGGAUGCAAUUGUUCUUGCUGGGGUCUCAGUUUCUGGUGUAACUGUAAUCUCUUGUUGUUUUAUUUUAGGUGGUCUACUUGCAAGAUGUCCCAGCCCAGGAUGCCGGAGGACAGGUCGGUCAAGCUCUAAGUGUGUUCUGCUGUUUAAGUCCCUGGUUUGCUGAUAAUCUUUUGUAUUCCAAGAUCGAAUAAAAGAACCACAUCACGAAUCCCA
rnacentral:lncRNA from 1 species